rnacentral:rRNA from 1 species
GCAAGUCGAGCGAGAAAGCUUUUUCGGAAGUGAGUAGAGCGGCGAACGGGUGAGUAACACGUAAAUAACCUGCCCUUAAGUUCGGGAUAACCAUGCUAACGCGUGGCUAAUACCGGAUGUGGUUUAUUGGUCUCAUGGCUAGUAAAUUAAAACUACGGUGCUUAAGGAUGGAUUUGCGGACUAUUAGCUAGUUGGUGAGGUAAUGGCCUACCAAGGCGAUGAUAGUUAGCCGACCUGAGAGGGUGAUC